rnacentral:rRNA from 1 species
AUGAGCGAUGAGGUACUGGAGUUGCUAUCCUUCAUUGCAAGUAGUCAAAAGGAAGACAUUGAAAAACUCGAUCUCAACAAGGAUGCUCUUCAAGCUAGCCGGAUGAUGGAAGGAAGCAGCGAGGCCGCUCCUUACCAUUUAGCUGGAAUUAACCGAUGCAAGUCCAAGAAGGAUUGGUCAGUGCUGCCGCCUGGCUUCAAGUUCGAUCCCACGGAUCAGGAGCUGAUCGGGCACCUUGAGGCCAAAGUGAGUGCUGACAGUGCGAGAUCUCACCCUCUCAUCGAUUUUUUCAUACCAACCAUCGACAGUGAGCACGGCAUAUGCUACACCCAUCCUGAGAAACUUCCACGGAGUUCAAAAGGGGAAUGCGGCAUGCACGCGAUGUGGCACAAGACCGGCAAUACCUUGCCAGUGAUGGUCAACGGCCGGCAGACGGGCAACAAAAAGGUUCUGGUGCUGCACACUAACAAGAACUUCGAUCAACAGAGAACCAACUGGAUGAUGCACCAGUACCACCUCGGGGACCUGGAACAAGAGAAGGAGCGGGAGCCGGGGAUCCAUCCAGUUUCACAUGCUGAUAGUUGGACGCAGCACGUCGGAACUGGGUUGUGGCAUGCCAAGCCGAGCUGCAAAUUGUUAAAAGAGAGGAGCGAUUGA